AUGAUGUAUGUGGAUCUGCUGAGUCUGGAUACUGUAGUGACAGUGCAGUAAUGCCCUCCUCUGUGGGUUCUUCACGAAUGAGCUCAACGAUUGUAUAUUGGAGACCAAUUAAGAAAUCAGACUUUAGGAAGCUGUUUGAUGAUACAGGGGGUUCUAAGGAGUCUGGAUUCAAAACCCAAGGCUCAACAAUCACGCCCGAUGUGGAUACCAAUACCCACCAAGGAUCCUCACAACUACUGAGUUCAGA